rnacentral:rRNA from 1 species
GCACAAGCGGUGAGCAUGUGGUUAAUUCGACGCAACGCGAAGAACCUUACCAGGGCUUGACAUCCCCUGACCGCGUAUGAAAGUACGUUUUCACCCUCGGGUGACAGGGAGACAGGUGGUGCAUGGUUGUCGUCAGCUCGUGUCGUGAGAUGUUGGGUUAAGUCCCGCAACGAGCGCAACCCCUACGUUUAGUUGCUAACAGGUGAAGCUGAGCACUCUAGACGAACUGCCGUUGACAAAACGGAGGAAGGUGGGAUGACGUCAAAUCAUCAUGCCCCUUAUGUUCUGGGCUACACACGUGCUACAAUGGCCGGUACAGACGGAGGCGAAGCCGCGAGGCGGAGCAAAUCCGAAAAAGCCGGUCUCAGUUCGGAUUGCAGGCUGCAAUUCGCCUGCAUGAAGUCGGAAUCGCUAGUAAUCGCAGGUCAGCAUACUGCGGUGAAUACGUUCCCGGGCCUU